UCCCAUCCCAUCCCAUCCCAUCCCAUCCCAUCCCAUCGUGCUUUCCUGCCUAACCCAGUGCUCUCUGUGUGGCCAAGGUGCCUGGGCAGGUCAGUUUGGAUGGGGCUCCCUCGCUGGCCCUUGACACUGGGCAAACCAAUGAAACCCACGCGAGCUCUGUCCCUGCUCAGGGAGUGUGGGAUGUCUCUCCUGUCAGAAACAGAUGAGCAUUAGACUUCAUGUUCUGCCUUCACGGGAAGACAGUUCUAAUCUGCUUUCAGUUCCUGGAAGCUCCCUUGCCACGUCACAGCUCCUCCACAGAAUGCAGAACCGCUCCUUGAACAUUUCCAUUGGAUGCAUUCCAAAAAUAAACGACAGAAACCCCCUUGACCCUGAUUUCCUAGCACACGUCUGAAAUUUUAGGAAAUGCAGCUUACGUAGGUGGAAGGCAGAGGAUAAAUGACGGCGUGGAGAGAGCCACAGCCACCGGGCAGGGCGGCACAGAGGACAAGAGCCACCACACAGCCACCAUGCUCCCUGCAAGGACUGUCCUGCUGCUCAGCCUGCUCCUCACCCUGCACCACGCCACAGGUAAGGAACCUCAGGGGCCACAGCUGCAGCUCAGGGCUCUGAGCCCCCACUGGGGACAUCCCAUUUGGGGAGGUCAGGCAGAAAACACGAGUGGGGAAUGGUGCUGCUGACAGGAGGAGCAAGCCCCUGGGCAGGGCAGGGCAGGGCAGGGCAGCACAUCCCAGGAUGCAGGGAUGGAUGGAGAAGGUGCUGGGUGGUCUCAGCAAAGCCAGACCUGGGGAGAGCCUGCAGAAACUUGGAGGAGGCUCUGGAAAUUGUUCCCCAGGUCUCAGCUGGAUGAGCAAGGGGUUGGAGGGAGGGAGAACAUGCAGCUCUUUGGAGCCUCCCAAAACACCCUUGCAACUUGUGCCUCUGCUUCAGAAAGCCCCUAAACUUCAUCCCCAGACUGAGCACCCCAACCUUACUGUGUGCUCUGGGGGAUGCAGCAAUUUGGGCUGUGAAGUGCCAGGUGCCAGGCUGUCCCCUGCUCCACCUCUGUCCAUGUCCCAGUCCUGUGCCUGUCCUGUGACAAACCCCUUUCAUAGAAUGCUAUGGGAGCUGCUGAGACGCUCCACAGCCUCCAUGCUGUGUUCCCAAUCUGGUGGUGCCAUUGUCUGGUGGUGCAAUUCACAACAUCUCCCCUUCCCUCCACAGCCCACUUUGCACCUGUGGAAUGCUGCUUUAAAUAUGCACAGAAACGCAUCCGACACCCUCAAAGCUUCUACGAGACAUCCAAAGACUGCCCCAAGCCUGCAGUUGUGA
rnacentral:lncRNA from 1 species